AGAUUGAACGCUGGCGGCAUGCCUAACACAUGCAAGUCGAACGGGAGUAGCAAUACUCUAGUGGCGGACGGGUGAGGAAUACGUAGGAAUUUGCCCUUAAGUGGGGGAUAACCCGGGGAAACCCGGAUUAAUACCGCAUGACCUCGAAAGAGCAAAGUGGGGGAUCGCAAGACCUCACGCUUUUGGAGAAGCCUACGUCGGAUUAGCUAGUUGGUGAGGUAAUGGCUCACCAAGGCGACGAUCCGUAACUGAUCUGAGAGGAUGAUCAGUCACACCGGAACUGAGACACGGUCCGACUCCUACGGGAGCAGCAGUGGGGAAUAUUGGACAAGUGGGCGCGAAGCCUGAUCCAGCAAUGCCGACGUGUGUGAAGAAGGCCUUCGGGUUGUAAAGCUAACUUAAGGUUAGGUAAAGAAAAACGUCGACUACUAACACUAGUAGAGUCUUGUAACGGUACCGAC
rnacentral:rRNA from 1 species